AUGAUAGGUGUAAAAGAAGUGUUCCCACAGGCUGAACAAAGGAAAUGCAUGUUUCACUUGGUGUCCAACUUCAAGAAGAAGUUUCAUGUAAAGGUGUUUGAUGACCACCUUUGGGCUGCUGCUUACUCAUGGAACCCAUAUAUAUUUGAGAAAAAUUGGGUUGCAAUGGACAUAGCAAAGCUAGCAACAACUGCAUAUCUUAGGAGGUGGCACACUAGGUUGUGGUCUAGGAGUCAGUUCUCAACAAUUUCCAAGGUGGAUUAUGUUACAAACAACUUGGCCGAGUGCUUCAAUAAUUGGAUUAAUCACCACAAGUCCUUGAACUUGGAAGACUUCUUUGAUAAGGUUAGGCAGAUGUUUAUGAUCAUGUGGAACCGAAGGAGGAAAGUAGCAUGGAAGUUGGUUGGGUUGAUUCUUCCCCACAUACUUAAGAAUUUGAAGAAGCCUAUGACCAACUAA
rnacentral:rRNA from 1 species